CAGCUGCCAAAUAGUGAGCUGCCCAGUGGAGAGGCUUAUGGGGCAAGAAACUGAGAGAGGCCUCAAACCAACAGCUUGCAAGGAAGUGAACCAUACAAAUAACCAUGACAGCACUCUUGCAAACAAAUCCUCCUCCUUUAGAUGAGACCAUCGCCAAGGCUUACACCUGGAUCGCAACCCUGUGAGACACCCUGGACCACAAGACCCAGCAAUGCUGGGCCCAGAUUCCUGACCUACAGAAAAUAUGAGAUCAACUUCCUAAACGUCCGUCAUAGUCAUGUCAUCUCCAAUGUCUGGAAUAAAUUAAUGCUUCAGUUUGA